AACUAACGCUGGCGGCAUGCCUAACACAUGCAAGUCGUACGGUACCUUCCUGUCUGGUGGCCCCCGGGUGCGUAACGCGUGGGAACCCGUCCUUAGGCUCCGCAUAACCUCCCGAAAGGGGUGCUAAUAUCGGACUAAUUCUUCGUACCUAAGACUUAUCGCCUUUGGAUGGGGCCGCGUUGGAUUAGUUAUUUGUUAGGGUAAAAGCCUACCAAGUCGACGAUCCAUAGCUGGUCUGAGAGGAUGAUCAGCCACACUGGGACUGAGACACGGCCCAGACUCCUACGGGAGGCAGCAGUGGGGAAUAUUGGACAAUGGGCGAAAGCCUGAUCCAGCAAGGCCGCGUGAGUGAUGAAGGCCUUAGGGUUGUAAAGCUCUUUUAACCGGGAUGAUAAUGUCAGUACCGGGAGAAUAAGCACCGGCUAACUCCGUG
rnacentral:rRNA from 1 species